rnacentral:lncRNA from 1 species
AUGAGCUAUGGUCAAUCCCUAUCCCAGUCUGUUGUUCCCACAUGCUUCAAGAGGGCCACCAUUGUUCCUGUUCCCAAGAAAGCUAAAGUAACUGAGCUAAACGACUACCGCUCCGUAGCACUCACUUCCGUCAUCAUGAAGUGCUUUGAGAGACUAGUCAAGGACCAUAUCACCUCCACCCUACCUGACACCCUAGACCCACUCGAAUUUGCUUACCGCCCAAAUGGGUCCACAGACGAUGCAAUCUCAACCACACUGCACACUGCCCUAGCCCAUCUGGACAAGAGGAAUACCUAUGUGAGAAUGCUGUUCAUCGACUACAGCUCGGCAUUUAACACCAUAGUGCCCUCCAAGCUCGUCAUCAAGCUCGAGACCCUGGGUCUCGACCCCGCCCUGUGCAACUGGGUACUGGACUUCCUGACGGGCCGCCCCCAGGUGGUGAGGGUAAGCAACAACAUCUCCACCCCGCUGAUCCUCAACACUGGGGCCCCACAAGGGUGCGUUCUGAGCCCUCUCCUGUACGCCCUGUUCACCCACGACUGCGUGGCCACGCACGCCUCCAACUCAAUCAUCAAGUUUGCGGACGACACAACAGUGUUUAACAACGACGAGACUGCCUACAGGGAGGAGGUGAGGGCCCUCGGAGUGUGGUGUCAGGAAAAUAACCUCACACUCAACGUCAACAAAACUAAGGAGAUGAUUGUGGACUUCAGGAAACAGCAGAGGGAACACCCCCCUAUCCACAUCGAUGGAACAGUAGUGGAGAGGGUAGUAAGUUUUAAGUUCCUCGGCGUACACAUCACAGACAAACUGAAUUGGUCCACCCACACAGACAGCAUCGUGAAGAAGGCGCAGCAGCGCCUCUUCAACCUCAGGAGGCUGAAGAAAUUCGUCUUGUCACCAAAAGGACUCACAAACUUCUACAGAUGCACAAUCGAGAGCAUCCUGUCGGGCUGUAUCACCGCCUGGUACGGCAACUGCUCCGCCCACAACCGUAAGGCUCUCCAGAGGGUAGUGAGGUCUGCACAACGCAUCACCGGGUGCAAACAACCUGCCCUCCAGGACACCUACACCACUCGAUGUCACAGGAAGGCCAUAAAGAUCAUCAAGGACAACAACCACCCGAGCCACUGCCUGUUCACCCCGCUAUCAUCCAGAAGGCGAGGUCAGUACAGGUGCAUCAAAGCUGGGACCUGA